rnacentral:rRNA from 1 species
UACGUAGGGUGCGAGCGUUGUCCGGAAUUAUUGGGCGUAAAGGGCUCGUAGGCGGUCUGUUGCGUCGGGAGUGAAAACUCAGGGCUUAACCCUGAGCCUGCUUCCGAUACGGGCAGACUAGAGGUAUGCAGGGGAGAACGGAAUUCCUGGUGUAGCGGUGAAAUGCGCAGAUAUCAGGAAGAACACCCGUGGCUAAGGCGGCUCUCUAGUACGGUACUGACGCUGAGACGCGAAAGCGUGGGGAGCGAACAGG